rnacentral:rRNA from 1 species
AGUGAACGCUGGCGGUAGGCCUAACACAUGCAAGUCGAACGGCAGCACAGUAAGAGCUUGCUCUUACGGGUGGCGAGUGGCGGACGGGUGAGGAAUACAUCGGAAUCUACUUUUUCGUGGGGGAUAACGUAGGGAAACUUACGCUAAUACCGCAUACGACCUACGGGUGAAAGCAGGGGAUCUUCGGACCUUGCGCGAUUGAAUGAGCCGAUGUCGGAUUAGCUAGUUGGCGGGGUAAAGGCCCACCAAGGCGACGAUCCGUAGCUGGUCUGAGAGGAUGAUCAGCCACACUGGAACUGAGACACGGUCCAGACUCCUACGGGAGGCAGCAGUGGGGAAUAUUGGACAUUGGGCGCAAGCCUGAUCCAGCCAUACCGCGUGGGUGAAGAAGGCCUUCGGGUUUUAAAGCCCUUUUGUUGGGAAAGAAAAGCAGCAGGUUAAUACCCCGCUGUUCUGACGGUACCCAAAGAAUAAGCACCGGCUAACUUCGUG